rnacentral:antisense_RNA from 1 species
UUCGGCCGCGCGCGGGCGGGGCCCUGGCAGCAACGAAAAUGGCGAGCCUCGUAGCCUUCCGGGCCCGGCGGCCGCAUUCCGGGAGUCGCCAGGUGGGUCCCGCCUUCCGUGUCCCCAAACGCCCAGAGCCCGGGACACGGGCCGGCGGCCGGGUCACCAAGCCAGUUCCCGGAAUCGGCUCGCGCCGGAAUCCAUAUUCGGCUUGCAAAGCCCGCUCCUGCCGUCUCUCCGCAGCGCGCCCUGCCCCACACUGCCGGCCCUCUUAGCUUCAAAACCAAAUUUUGCCUUUCAUCCUGAGAGAUUAAUACCCCGCAGGUGAAACCUUGGAGACGGAGCUGCGGUGGGUUUCUUUUCCACGCCUCAGUUUCCCCGUCUGUGAAAUGGGGCCAAGCGCGCCUGUGCUUCUCCGGGAGUUUAUUGCAGGGCUGGCUGGAGAGAAUGGCUGGGUGGAAGCUGCCAGGCGGAGGCCCAAGGCCGCCCACCCCGUGGGCCUCGUUUGCUGAGCGGGGGUCAAAGGCGUGCGGGACAGGGCGCGCCCCACGGCGGCUCUGGAGGCGGCCCGGCCCGUCCCUGUCUCCUCCCCUCGCUCCCCCUCCCCCGGCCUUCCCGGAACUCUCCUCGCCCGCUGGAUGGAGGAGGGGCGAGGGCCGACUCCGCCGCCCCUGGGGUCUCCCUCCUCCCACCCCCACCGCAGAGUCUGGCCCGCCCUGGGCUUUCCUCUCAGGUCCCUUUGGGUCUCCAGAAGCCCGGAGGUUUCGCGCAGACUCGAACCUGAGAUGACACCACCCAGCACCCCAAAUCCUGCAGAGUGUGGAGGGGAUUUGGGGAGAAGGCAGGGGCUGCCCGGGCGCUCUGGCUGCUGGGGGUGGGGGACAGGGCCUGCCGGGGAAGCGGGUCGGGGGAGGACUGGAGACCCAGGCUACCCUAGGUACAACGAACCUCGCGGGAGGGAAUACGCCAUCCCCUUACCCACUUCCGAGGACGUAGGUCUUUUGGCACCGGCGGCAGCCGCGUUCCCACACAUCUGGGCGGGGCCCCGCAGCAUGGCCUGGGGAGCUGAGGCUUCGGGAUCCGGCACAAACUACCCCUCUGGGUGUAGACGGAGGAGGUGGGGUGUGGGAAGCAGGGGGCCAUGGUCUGAGCAGACCUUCUCACCUCUGGGCCUCCCACCUCCUGGGGCAGGACUUACGGGGAAGGACCCGAGGGGAGUGGGGUGUCCAGAGGGACACCCAAGGGUCUAUGCCUGCGAGCUUUGCUUUCUACUAAACCAAUAAUCGCAGUGGUGGUGGCAGUCGAGACACGGCUCAAAGAGCCGGCAAGAAUAGAGCAGAGACCAGGAUCGCCCCAGGCAGGGAAAAAAUGACCAGUUCUGUAGAGUGACCCGAAGGUGAUGGAAUCACUCGGGCGUCCUCCUGGGAAAGAGCUGCCUGCUCCCCCGCCGCCGCCAGUACACCGGCGCCCAUGCCCCGGGGGCUGGAGAGAGCAGCCAGGCACAGCCCCUCCAGCUUCCUGGGAGUCCAAUUUCCCAAGGUAGAACGGUGGCGGCAGAGCCUGGCCCUGUGGUGGGGCAGCUGCACCCCGAUGAGUGGCUUGCAGUUCCUGGAGCCCUGCAGGUUGUUGGAGAGGCAGGGAGCCAUUCUCUCUCCCGCCUGCCCUCUUGCACUUCCUCUCCCAGAACCCAGCGCUACUCCCAGAGGCUCUGAGCUGGAGCCCUAGAAGGAGGCGCUGCAAGGCUCCGUGCUCCUGGAGCUUCGAGUCUAUGGUAUGAGUUAAACAGAAGGGUAUCUCCUCCAUCAGAUCUACAGGAGGGUGUCUCCUCCAUCAGACCUGGAGCUCCCAAGGCAUUUUACCCGAAGCUCCAGCACCUGGCCCAAGGCUGGGCUGUGCUGUGUCCUCAGUGAAAGAAUGGAUGAGUCACAACUGAAUGACUGAAGAGCUGAACCAAUGGGAAAACUGAUGCUCAGAGGCUUGAGCAACCUAGGCCAGGACCUGUCCUUAGAGGCAGAAGCAGGACUCAGAGGAAGAGCACCCUGACCACAAAGCCCCAGGGUCCAGAAAGACUCAGCCACUGGAGUCUGUAUUUCCUGAGUCCGCCUCUCACUGCUGGAGCUGUUUAUCAUCGCUCCAACUUUCACUAAAAAGGAAAAACUAUCACUUAACAAAGCCAUUGAAACCCCAGCAUCAUAUGUGGAUUUUUUAACAUAAAUAAAUCAUACAAACUAAGA